rnacentral:rRNA from 1 species
UACGGGGGGGGCAAGCGUUGUUCGGAAUUACUGGGCGUAAAGGGCCAGUAGGCGGCCAACUAAGUCGGAUGUGAAAUCCCCAGGCUCAACCUGGGAACUGCAUCCGAUACUGGAUGGCUUGAAUUCGGGAGAGGGAUGCAGAAUUCCAGGUGUAGCGGUGAAAUGCGUAGAUAUUGCUCGGAAGGCCGGAGCCGAAGGGGCCCCAUUGGUACGUAACUGACGCUGAGGCACGAAAGCGUGGGGAGCAAACAGG